AGAUACCACUCGUACACUGCAGUUCGGAGCGCGCCAUCCGCGCCCACCUGGCGACUGCUCGCGACGGUUGUCGCC
rnacentral:sRNA from 2 species